AACGAACGCUGGCGGCAGGCUUAACACAUGCAAGUCGAGCGAGACCUUCGGGUCUAGCGGCGGACGGGUGAGUAACGCGUGGGAACGUGCCCUUCUCUACGGAAUAGCCCCGGGAAACUGGGAGUAAUACCGUAUACGCCCUUUGGGGGAAAGAUUUAUCGGAGAAGGAUCGGCCCGCGUUGGAUUAGGUAGUUGGUGGGGUAAUGGCCCACCAAGCCGACGAUCCAUAGCUGGUUUGAGAGGAUGAUCAGCCACACUGGGACUGAGACACGGCCCAGACUCCUACGGGAGGCAGCAGUGGGGAAUCUUAGACAAUGGGGGCAACCCUGAUCUAGCCAUGCCGCGUGAGUGAUGAAGGCCUUAGGAUUGUAAAGCUCUUUCAGCUGGGAAGAUAAUGACGGUACCAGCAGAAGAAGCCCCGGCUAACUCCGUG
rnacentral:rRNA from 1 species